AUACGGAGGAUGCGAGCGUUAUCCGGAUUUAUUGGGUUUAAAGGGAGCGUAGGCGGGAGCUUAAGUCAGCGGUUAAAUGGUGCGGCUCAACCGUGCCCUGCCGUUGAAACUGGGUUUCUUGAGAGUGCAAGAGGCGGAUGGAAUUCAUGGUGUAGCGGUGAAAUGCUUAGAUAUCACGAAGAACUCCGAUUGCGAAGGCAGUCCGCUGGGGCACGUCUGACGCUGAUGCUCGAAGGUGCGGGAAUCAAACAGGAUUAGAUACCCUGGUAGUCCGCACGGUAAACGAUGAUUACCCGCUGUCGGCGGCAGACAGUCGGCGGCCAAGCGAAAGCGAUAAGUAAUCCACCUGGGGAGUACGCCGGCAACGGUGAAACUCAAAUGAAUUGACGGGG
rnacentral:rRNA from 1 species